GACGAACGCUGGCGGCGUGCUUAACACAUGCAAGUCGAGCGGUAAGGCUCCUUCGGGGGUACACGAGCGGCGAACGGGUGAGUAACACGUGAGUAAUCUGCCCUUCACUUCGGGAUAACCAUCGGAAACGGUGGCUAAUACCGGAUAUGACUCGUCCCUGCAUGGGGGUGGGUGGAAAGUUUUUUCGGUGGAGGAUGUGCUCGCGGCCUAUCAGCUGGUUGGUGAGGUAACGGCUCACCAAGGCUUCGACGGGUAGCCGGCCUGAGAGGGUGACCGGCCACACUGGGACUGAGACACGGCCCAGACUCCUACGGGAGGCAGCAGUGGGGAAUAUUGGACAAUGGGCGGAAGCCUGAUCCAGCAACGCCGCGUGAGGGAUGACGGCCUUCGGGUUGUAAACCUCUUUCAGCUCCGACGAAGCGCCCGUGAGGGUGGUGACGGUAGGUGCAGAAGAAGGACCGGCUAACUACGUGCCAGCAGCCGCGGUAAAAC
rnacentral:rRNA from 1 species